rnacentral:rRNA from 1 species
AUUGAACGCUGGCGGCAUGCCUUACACAUGCAAGUCGAACGGCAGCACGGGUGCUUGCCCCUGGUGGCGAGUGGCGAACGGGUGAGUAAUACAUCGGAACAUGUCCUGUAGUGGGGGAUAGCCCGGCGAAAGCCGGAUUAAUACCGCAUACGAUCUACGGAUGAAAGCGGGGGCCCUUCGGGCCUCGCGCUAUGGUGUUGGCCGAUGGCUGAUUAGCUAGUUGGUGGGGUAAAGGCCUACCAAGGCGACGAUCAGUAGCUGGUCUGAGAGGACGACCAGCCACACUGGGACUGAGACACGGCCCAGACUCCUACGGGAGGCAGCAGUGGGGAAUUUUGGACAAUGGGCGAAAGCCUGAUCCAGCAAUGCCGCGUGUGUGAAGAAGGCCUUCGGAUUGUAAAGCACUUUUGUCCGGAAAGAAAGCCUGGGCCCUAAUACGGUCGGGGGAUGACGGUACCGGAAGAAUAAGCACCGGCUAACUACGUG